rnacentral:lncRNA from 1 species
UGUCAGCCAAAGAAGAGAGCUCAGUCAUCUCUUCCGGAGUUAGUUUCACUGUGAGAGCUCCAAUAUUCUCAUUGAAGUUGUUGAUCUUGGUGGUGCCGGGUAUAGGGCACACAUCAUCUCCUUGGUGAUGAACCCAAGCCAAUGCCAGUUGAGACGGGGUGCAGCCUUUUCUAGUAGCCAUUUCACUGAUCUUUUCAUAUACGACCUUAUUGGCUUCAAGAUUCUCAGCUUUGAACCUUGGAAAGAUCUAGAAAAUUCGACAGACUAUAUCAUCAGCGCAAGUAAAAACAAUAUUUGGCAUCUUCAUCAUUAAAAUGACAAUAAAGANUUGAAAAUGAUUUGGCAUCUUAAUCUAGCUCUAUCAUGUGUCCUGCUUUAAGAUUUUAGUUGUAACGUCAUCAAAUGUAGCUCUCCUCAUCUAAGUCGCAAUAAGCUACAAAUUGAUACAGUUUUUUAAGGUAAACAACUAAACAAGUUUAAAAGUUCACCAAAAAACAUAUGUUGACAAAGCUAGCAGUAGGAACCAGGAAGGAGAGCGAUUGCCAGUUAGAUAUAAAUCAAGCUAAAUCAUUCCAUAAGCAUUGAUAUUUAAAUCAAUAUCUUUCCAGUGAAGCUUUGCUAGAUAUGCACCAACCUUACGGAAGUCACCCUCUGGCAAGUUCUGUAUCAACUUGGGACCGACUGACAAAAAGCCACGUCCAAGUGGACUGUAUGUGACAAUUCCAAUGCCAAGUUCUCUGAAAUCACAAGACAUGUAGAAAGCUGAUAUUGAUCAUUUUAUUCAACUUCUCAAAAUCCUAAAUUACCGACAAACUACCCUACCUCGUACCUGCAAGCAGGAACUAAUUCUUCUUCCAAAUCUCUUGACCAUAGUGACCAUUCAUUCUGGAUCGCAGUAAUUGGGUGAACAGCAUGAGCCCUUCUGAUUGUUGAAACAGAAGCCUCUGAGAGACCGACAUAUUUUAUUUUCCCUUCUUCAACCAGUUUCUUAAGUUCUCCCAUCUAGGAAUAACAGCAAUGGAAACGAAACAUAUGCAGUCACAUUUACUUAUAAUAGUUCAAUUCAAGAUCAUACAUGCUCAUUGUCAAACACAAUUUAGUUGUUUCACAUAUAUAUAAUAGUCCAACCACACUGGCAUUUUAAAGCUAAGAACUUUCCUGAUACGUUGACAGAAUUAAAAUGGAAAUAAGGUAUAAAAUCCACUAUGAGCAUAUCAUACUAUUCACACCUUGCACUACACAGUAAGAGAGGCAAAAUUAUUCAACUACAAUUACCAGUCACACCCCAAUCACCUAUAUACCCAGGAUAGAACCUCGGUACAGAAAUUUACUUCGAGAAUUGAAAUCACCAAUAUUUAUCAUGUGUUUUGGAAUAUUUUAAAUGGACCACGUUUCACUAAGUAUACAGUCUUCAUAUUCCAACAGAGUGAUUCUUCAGAAGAGUACUCACCGUGACUUCAAUGGGUACACGAGUGUCAAUCCUAUGAACAUAAUAGAGAUCAAUACACUCAAUAUCAAGACGCUUCAAGCUCGCCUCGCAUGCAGACCUCACAUAUUCCGGGUCACCACAUAUUUCCCUUUUCCCAUCCUUGCGUGCAAAACCAAACUUAGAAGCAAUUUGCACUUUCUCCCUCAUUCCCCCUUUCAAAGCCUGCAACAAUUCCAACAGACUAGUUCAUUCAAAGCUCAACACAAUAAUUGCAAGAAGUUGUAACCAGAAUAUAUGCAGCGCCUCCAUGAGAACCUCCUAAACCAAACUAAGAGGGUGUUUGGCUGAGCUUAUAAGCUCUUAUAAGCUCAUGGCAAAAUAAGUUCCUAAACAGUUUAUAAUCUGUAAAAAUAAGCUCUAAGUGCUUAUAAGCUCCCCCAAAAAAUAAGUUCCUCUACCCUAAUUUAUUUUCUUAUUAUCUUAUAAGUAACAUUCAUUUUACAAAAAUAAUUAUACUAUAAUUUUUUUAUUUUCAUCAUAUAUCAUUAUAAUUUCAUCUCUUUUCGAUUUUUUCUCUCUAACUAAAAAUUCUCUCUAGCUUAUUAGCUCAAUUAUCCAAAUAAUUUGACAACUUAUAAGCUCUUAAGAAACUACAUUUUAUAAGCUCUUUAAAAUAAGCUUAGCCAAACACCCUCUAAGUUCAAAGGUAAGUCCGCUAAUCAACUCUUGAUGUGCAUAAAUUGAUGACACGGCAGUGCACCUUUUAUGUUCCUUCUUCAGUUUCUAACCAUUACCGGAAUAAAGCACACAAGUUUGUUAAUAAAAUAUGAUGGGACAUAAUCGAAAUAAACGCCACAAUUAUGAUCAUGAUUAUAAUGAAAUAGCUGUCCAAAGCAUAAUUGCUCAUCAGAUAGAACAUAAUAAGCAGCAUAUAUAUGCACUAGCGGAUCCAGGGGAUGAAGCCCCCUCCCUAUUUUUGAGUUUUUUUUUUUUAAACGUAGAUAUAUAUUUUAUAUUUUAUAUAUCUAUGUAUAUUUGUAUAUAAAUAAGAAAAAAAAAUAUAAUACAUUGUUUAUAGUAUCCAACUAUCCAUAUUCCUUGUUUAAUAUUGAACAUUGAUUUGUUACAUUUUAUUUUUAUCCCAUUUUUCUUUCUUACUGUAUUUAAUUUUUAAUAUUGAAAUUGAGUCCAUUCUCAAGUUAAAAGUAAAAUUACAAAUUAUUAAUAAUGAAAAUUAGUUUAUUUAUUUAGAAGAUGAAACAUUUUAAAAAAAAAUACAUAAAACUAUAAAAGUAUGUUUUUAUAUACUUUCAAUCUACUUUAUGUUGAAUUAAUUGAACUGCAAAUAAUUAUCUACUAUUAAUUGUUAAAAAAAUGUAUGAAAAUGAAGUGUACGGAAUGCUCAAAAAAAUUUGCUUCCAAGAUCAAUAAACAAAUAGCAUAAAUUACAAUUACUCGUCCAUAAUCAGAUAUAAUAAGUUCUAAGCAAUCAAUUACUGCUCGAUUAAUUGAAUUCUCAAGUUGAGCACAAAGAAAUACCUUUCCGAUUAGAAUUUCGUUGGUAUGGGGACCGUAGGCGUCAGAGGUGUCGAGAAAUGUGACGCCGGAGUUGAUGGCGUGGUGGAUGAGUUGGAUCAUCUCGGCGUCGGGCUUCGGCUGCCCGUAGCUGGCUGACAUGCCCAUGCAGCCGAGGCCUUGUUUGGACACCUCAAGGCCCUGCGACCCCAGCUUGAUUCUCGGCACAUUCACUCCCAUUUCGCUUAAUUAGGGCUUCUGCAGUUCAGGAUUUAAUUUAACUGGAUAUUUCAGUGGCCUGUUGACUGUUGUCACUUGCCACUUGAUGGAUGGUAAUUGGUAAAUGAAGUGAGACUAAUUUUAUAAGGAAAAAGGGAAGAUGAUAACGUACCCGCUACCGUAAUGUUUACGUUAUCGCCAGCGAUGACGCCAUUUGUUAGAUCUUUUCUUCGAUGAGCUUGAAAUUCACACUAGUUGAAUUAUUGAGAGAUCUAAUUGUAAGAUUGCGCCUUUGUCGCUUCGACAUGUGUCAACAUAAAGCGCAUCUCUUGAGCUUGAAAUUCACACUAGCUGAAUUAUUGAGAGAUCUAAUUGUAAGAUUGCGCCUUUGUCGCUUCUACAUGUGUCAAGAUAAAAGCGCAUCUCUUUCCUCUAUGUAGUACGUAUUUCAAUUUUUUUUUAUCUAUUUUUUAUAUAAACUGUAUAUUACUCUUUCAACUACCUUUAUCACUUUCUCAUAGUAUCAAAUAAUACAAGAAAAAAAAAAUAAUACAAGAACUUAGGGUGAUUGUCUGUUGUCCAAGAGGUCACAAGUUCGAAUACUCUCGGCCACAAUAACCACUAGGUGGGGUGUGUGACCGCUCAUAAAGGAAAGUCUGUGGAUGCCUCAGCUUUGCCACUAGAGCAAGGACUCAUCGGCUUUUUACUACAAAUUUUAAAAAACUAAUUUUUAGUGUGUUAAAUGUGGCAGGUGAAAAAAAUAAAAAGCUGAAUAAAAACUUUUACCAUCUAAGAAAAGCUAUCAAGUUAAUUGAAACAAUUCAAAAAAAAUAUUACUUUAAGAAAUUGAGUGUUAUAUGUUUUAAUAGAGUGUGGCCUACAAUUGUUGACCAAAUUAGUGCGUAAUUGUUGACUUAAUUAAAGUAAUUUUGGCAUUUUUAGAAAGUGGCCUACAAUUGUUGACCAAAUUAGUGAGUAAUUGUUGACUUAAUUAAAGUAAACUUUUGCUAUUUUUAGAAAGUAGCCACUUUUAAUGGUACACCCAAAAAAGAAAUGUGGCCACUUUUAUUGGGACGGAGGGAGUAAUCAAGUUAGUUAAAACAAGGGGAGUAUUAUUAUUAUUAUUAUUAUUAUUAUUAUUAUUAUUAUUAUUAUUAUUAUUAUUAAUAUUAAUUCAUGACAACUCACAGCUACGGCCUCCUAGAGGCUACGGGUCAAUCUAACAAAUUAAUCAUGAAAACAAGCGUGUGAUAAACUCAAACUUAUAAAAACUUUGGUGACAUUCAAAUUUGAGAGCUUUGAUCUAACAUAAUUCAUUAUUUUUAUUUCUUAAUAAAAAUAACAUGGUUCCGUUUUAAUACAUAACGGUGAUUUAACGCUUUCUUUCACUAAAAAUGACUAUACAGUAUACCGUGUAUUUUGUUAUAUAUCAUAUCACACUGGAACAACAAUCAUUGAACAUAUAAGUGUGAAUUAAAUUAUUUGCAAUCUGGCCUUUUCGAUGACAUAUUCCUAUUUCAUCUUAUGAAAUUAACAAGUAGAUUAAAAUGUUUAUUUUCAUGAACGCCAGUUGCUUUCAAGGUUCUCACUCUGAGCCAUGAAACCUUGGAAAAACUAGCAAAUUCGAGAGACGAAAACAGUUUACAGAAGUGGAAAUAGAUUUUCAGACGAUCAAACUUACAUUUUUUUAUUUUUUUUCUUCUUUUUUGUUCAAAUUAGAAGAGGGUGGUCUCAGGUAUGGACUUUCCAAGAUGACAAUGGUGGCGUGUUGGAAUGUAUCCAUGUAUUCUCCAUGAACACAUGCCUCUCCCCCUUAACCAUGUCAGCCAAAGCCGAGAGCUGAUCCAUCUCUUCUGGAGUUAGUUUCACCGAGAGAGCUCCAAUAUUCUCAUUGAUAUUGUCGAUCUUGGUGGUGCCGGGUAUAGGGCACACGUCAUCUCCUUGGUGAUGAACCCAAGCUAAAGCCAGUUGAGACGGGGUGCAGCCUUUUCUCGUAGCCAUUUCACUGAUCUUUUCAUAUACAACCUUGUUGGUUUCAAAAUUCUCAGCCUUGAACCUUGGAAAGAGCUAGAAAAUUCGACAGACCAUUAUCAGCAUAUUUAAGUAAAAACAGCUUUUGACAUCUUCAUCGUUAAAAAGACAGAAUUGAAAAUAGAUUCUAAGACCAUCUGCAUAGGAUCAAACCCAGCCUUAUUAUGGCCUCUGUAAACUUCAAGCAGAAACUUCCUUAACUAAUUGAAGGGAACAUAUAGGGAUGGCAUUGGAUAAGAAUAAUCUGUUCUUGCAACCACAUAAAAUGUAGCUACCCUCAUCUAAUUUCAAUAAGGUCAUUGCUAUAACUUCUAGGUAUGCAAAACAAGUAAAUGUUUAAUCUAGCAGUAGGAACUAGGAAAAGGAGCGACUGCUAGAUAGAUAUAAGUCAAGCUAAAGGAAUUCUAUAUGCAUCGAUAAUUUUAUAUUUGUCUUUCUUAUGAAGCUAUACGAGAUAUGCACCAACCUUACGCAUGUCGCCCUCUGGCAAGUUCUGUAUCAACUUGGGACCUACUGAAAAGAAGCCACGUCCGAGCGGACUGUAUGGGACAAUUCCAAUGCCAAGUUCUCUGAGAUCACAAUACAUGCAGAAAGUUGAUUGAAUAUACUCAUCAUUUUCUCAAAUCCUAUAUUACUGACAAACUACCUCAACCUCGUACCUGCAAGUAGGAAUUAAUUCUUCUUCCAAAUCUCUUGACCACAAUGACCAUUCAUUCUGGACGGCAGUAAUUGGGUGAACAGCAUGAGCCCUUCUUAUUGUCGAAGCAGAGGCCUCUGAGAGCCCAACAUAUUUUAUUUUCCCUUCUUCAACCAGUUUCUUAAGUUCUCCCAUCUUGGAAAGCAUGAGAACAAAUAAUUUUAGAAAGAACAUCAGAGGAAAUAAAACAAAUGUAGUCACUCUUGCUUAUAGUUUCAAUUCAUGACCAUAUAGCUUAACUAUCGAACUCAAUUCAGUCUUUCUACAAAUAUUUAUAUAAGAGUCCGACCAUGCUGCUAUUCUAAUGCAAAGAAUAUACACUCAAGUAUCUUUUGAAUUUUGAAAUCAU